CCUACGGGAGGCAGCAGUGGGGAAUAUUGGACAAUGGGCGAAAGCCUGAUCCAGCAAUGCCGCGUGAGUGAUGAAGGCCUUAGGGUUGUAAAGCUCUUUUACUAGGGAUGAUAAUGACAGUACCUAGAGAAUAAGCUCCGGCUAACUCCGUGCCAGCAGCCGCGGUAAUACGGAAGGUGCAAGCGUUAAUCGGAAUUACUGGGCGUAAAGCGCGCGUAGGUGGUUUGUUAAGUUGGAUGUGAAAGCCCUGGGCUCAACCUAGGAACUGCAUCCAAAACUAACUCACUAGAGUACGAUAGAGGGAGGUAGAAUUCAUAGUGUAGCGGUGGAAUGCGUAGAUAUUAUGAAGAAUACCAGUGGCGAAGGCGGCCUCCUGGAUCUGUACUGACACUGAGGUGCGAAAGCGUGGGUAGCGAACAGGAUUAGAUACCCUGGUAGUCCACGCCGUAAACGAUGACAACUAGCUGUUGGGAGACAAUGUCUUUCAGUGGCGCAGCUAACGUUUUAAGUUGUCCGCCUGGGGAGUACGGCCGCAAGGCUAAAACUCAAAGGAAUUGACGG
rnacentral:rRNA from 1 species